AAAAAGCCACAAAAAAAAGUUAGAUCUGUUCAUCCUUUAUCCAAGCCAGUCUGAGCCUUUGCAAUUUUCUAUUCAUUGCUUGCAUAGUUGAAUUAUCGGUUGCAUCGUCGUGUCAGUUGCUGGUCUUAGUGUCUAGUUCGUUUAGAGUUUCGAGUUCUGUUCACAUUAGUCACGCCACCGCUGCAUCAUUAUCUCUUCCGCUGUCCACCACCCAUCCAUCAAUUUCCACCACGUGCUACCCACCAUUCAUUGUCAUAAUAAUAGUUGAGAUCGUUCACAUCUUCACUUGAUCCAAUCUGCAUCUUAUCUAGUUUGUUUUGGAAAGAGGGAGAAAAAAAGAGAGAAAAAAAAGAGAGAAAAAAAAGGAAAAAAAAGUCAGAGAAAAAAAAGGAGAGAAAGAAAAAAAAAGUGUGAGGAAAAAAAAAAAGAGAAGAAAAAAAAACAAAAUUCGGAUCUUUUUAGACUCAAUCUCGUAGUUGAAUUCAGAUUGGAAUCUGUUUUGUGCACUGUUCAGUAAAACAGGCAUAACUUCCUCAUACGAAGUCCAUUUUGCCUCCGCGAGUACUCAAAUGAAAGAUAGCGAGGAGCCGCAUCUAAAUAGUUGCAGAAGCUAGUUCAAUAUUUGACACCUCAAAAUCGGCUUCUAAAUAGGUCUUUUUGCCCUCCGAAGUUCGUGAACACAGCUUGUUCCAAUUUUUCAGGCCAGUUUUAGAAUUCUUUGACUCCUCAUAUCAACUCGGAAUUGAGUGAUUCUUUUUGCAUUGGAAAUCUUGAGUUAGUAGCAUUCUUUGAAAGAAUUUAUCAGGAAAUCGGCACAAACUUUUUCAGAGGAAAGUUGGAGACAAAGUUGUUGAUAUAUCCUGCUUGGCUCUUGUUUCACCUCAUUAUCUUCACUGCUGUUGUGAUCUUCACUUAUAUCUUGCUGUCAAGAGCUACUUAGUAUCCUUCAUUGAUGCUAGUUGUGCUACGUCGUGACCUCAUUAGUGUUCUAGGCUCGCGUCUCUAGUCCGGUCUAGCCUAGGACCAGCACAGUACCGUCGUUGGGCGUUUAUUCAACAUUGCAUCUUUGAAUUGAUUAUUGCUAAUCUUUUGCUACCAUAUAUAGCCAACCCAGCUCCACAUAUUUCUACACCGUGUAUACGUACGCUCCCCUGGCAAUCGCUUUACUCAAUAUUCGGAGUUACUUGACACCGCUGGUUGCCGAUCACCGCCUGCUGCAUGGUAAGAACUUGUAAGACAUUGAUAUUUGCUUUACUGUGAGCGUUUUACCACCACAUCCUAGUAGUUAUAGGAACAUUAUUUUUGGGUUUUGUUUCUUGUUCUACUAAUCAUGACAGGAUCCAGAGUCAAUUCAUGGGCUUUGUCGAUCGCGGGAGACGUGCCACCACCUUUGCAAAUACCACAACCGUCACGAGAGGUGCACAAACAUCCAAAUGCACAUGAUGAUGAGGACAUGACUACCUUGGAUAUGACCAAAAAUAUUGCAUAUAUGCAUAUUUGUCAGGUGAUUUCUAGUGCAAACUAUUCAAUAAUCUAUUUAUGUUAUCCAGAACAAAAAUACUUCACACACUUUUGUGUUUUGUCUAAUUGCAGGUGUAUGGGACAUUUGUACAAUCCACAUAUGAAGAUAAGGAAGAAAGAGAUGUUUAUUUUCUGUCCAAAAAGUUCUCUCACGUCACUUUUGGCCCAAGAGAAGAUAGAGUCCAAGUCUCUCACGUUCUGGAUUCAGAUUCGGACUCCACAGACAUACCUGACUCAAAACGCACACAAGUUUUUCAUACGGACUCCGAAUUGGGUGAUUCUUUUUUUGUUGGAAACUAGAUUUCGUGCACUUUCCAACCCAAUUGGAAUCACCUUCAAAUUCGUCCGGAGCGUUGAGUUGUGGAUGAAACAAUCUGAUGCUGCAGCAGAAUCCGAGUCAAACUACAAGUCCAAAGGUGUUACAUCACUUCCACUUGGGCCCAUUGGCCUUGUACGACCUAGAUUUAGUUUUAGGCUGCCUUGGGACGUCCUCCCACCUCCUUGGCCUCCACCCCUUGCUCCUAUAUAAGUAGAUCCAUCUAGUAGCUUUUCCUUGGGAUUUGUUUAGUUAAAAGUUAGCCAACGCAACUUCGUGUACUUCGUUUGUGUCCAACGACCAGACCAAGACCGCUUACGGAUCCCCACCAUUAUCAAUACCUCAUAUAUAUUUGCAAUAUUCAGAUUGCUUUAUCAUAUUCUUGCUCGUUCUUCGAUUGCUUGCAGGAAUAGACCUUCGUGGUCAGGCUGACCGUGCUUCCGGCAUCGUCAGUAACCUCAGGAGAUUGGUUUAGCGAUUGCUAAGGCGCAACGUCGUGCACGUUUGUAGUCGGAUCGUCAAAGUCGUCUCCACCAAAUCGAUAGUUAUCAUCUCAUCGAAAGAUCGGGACACCCUCGCCUCUAUCAAGUGGUAUCAGUUUUCAGGUUGCUCGGUGAGAAUUUCCAGUUUUCCUAGAUUAGAUUUAUUUUCUUACCUAUUGUCCAAGAAAAAGCCACACAAAAAAAAGUUAGAUCUGUUCAUCCUUUAUCCAAGCCAGUCUGAGCCUUUGCAAUUUUCUAUUCAUUGCUUGCAUAGUUGAAUUAUCGGUUGCAUCGUUGUGUCAGUUGCUGGUCUUAGCGUCUAGUUCCUUUAGAGUUUCGAGUUCUGUUCACAUUAGUCACGCCGCCGCUGCAUCAUUAUCCCUUCCGCUGUCCACCAUCCCAUCUAUUAAUUUCCAUCACGUGCUACGCACUGUUCAUUGUCAUAAUCAUAGUUGAGGUCAUUCACAUCUUCGCCUGAUCCAAUCUGCAUCUUAUCUAGUUUGUCUUG
rnacentral:lncRNA from 1 species